AUGGAUAUACCACAUUUUUUCUUGUCGUGCGGGAGUAGGUCUGCAAAUGAGCAACAGUCAGAAAAGUCAGUGCAAAAAGUGAAUGAAGUGGAGGCAGAGAAGAUUGAUGAAGGCACAUCAGAGAAAGGGCAAGAUCAUGAUCAAGUACAGGGACAGAGAGAGCAUGAAGAAGAGGAAGACAUGAGUCAGGAGAGAGAGGACAGACAUACAGAGAAACAAAUGUCAGAUGAAGCACAGACAGCAGCUGCACCUUUAGAUCAGUGUGACUUAGGUGAAAAGGACACAGGCCCAAAACAGGCAAAAUUACACUAUUAUCCCCAGGAGAACUUUGGCUUACAAAAAAGAUCAUUCCAGCCAAGCUGGUUUCAAACAUUUGCUUGGCUUGAGUACUCACAGAAGACAGAUUCUGCCUACUGCUUUGCUUGCCAUGUCUUUGGUAAAAACUUGAAGCAUGAUGUAUUUGUGAGUAGUGGAUACAAUAGUAGUGUACAGUGAAUGAAUCAGGAG
ensembl:lncRNA